GCAGUCGAGCGAAUGGAUUGAGAGCUUGCUCUCAAGAAGUUAGCGGCGGACGGGUGAGUAACACGUGGGUAACCUGCCCAUAAGACUGGGAUAACUCCGGGAAACCGGGGCUAAUACCGGAUAAUAUUUUGAACUGCAUGGUUCGAAAUUGAAAGGCGGCUUCGGCUGUCACUUAUGGAUGGACCCGCGUCGCAUUAGCUAGUUGGUGAGGUAACGGCUCACCAAGGCAACGAUGCGUAGCCGACCUGAGAGGGUGAUCGGCCACACUGGGACUGAGACACGGCCCAGACUCCUACGGGAGGCAGCAGUAGGGAAUCUUCCGCAAUGGACGAAAGUCUGACGGAGCAACGCCGCGUGAGUGAUGAAGGCUUUCGGGUCGUAAAACUCUGUUGUUAGGGAAGAACAAGUGCUAGUUGAAUAAGCUGGCACCUUGACGGUACCUAACCAGAAAGCCACGGCUAACUACGUGCCAGCAGCCGCGGUAAU
rnacentral:rRNA from 1 species